GGCCCUGUGGCGAAAUGGUUAUCGCGCUUGACUACGAUUUAGUUGGUAUCAAGAGACUCUGUGUUCGACUCACAGCAGGGUCA